rnacentral:pre_miRNA from 1 species
CCCUCCCGCCGGAUCUAGCGGAGGGGAGGGCGCGGCCGCCGCCACUACUGUCGCCGAGGUCCGCCACCUCCCUUCUCGCUGGAUCUGGUAGAUGGGA